UUGGUUUGUCCGCCCAUUAAUUGAUCAAGUACACUACAUAUAGAAGCCCAAGCCAAUUUAAGAAAGAAAUAAGUGGUUAAAGCCUUAAAGGCUUGCAAGCAUUUGGUAUGAGUGGAUGACAACUAAGCUUGCCUAAGCAUUGGUUUGUCCGUCCAUCAUCUACAACAACUUGACCUUCACUGUGACAGUCAAGCAAAGAGACCUGUAGAAAUGGUGAAAACGCAGCGAAAGCGAGAGAGACAAAGACAGCGAAGAAGAAUAAGAAGCAAUAGCAAUGCAACCUCAUGGUUUGACAACAUCUCAUGGUGUUUGAAGCUUCAACAAUGGCUUAUAGUGGCAAUUGAACAGGUAUGAAGGAGUGAUUCAGUUAAAUGAGGAGAGGAAGAGACCAAGGAGGGAAGAGAGAGAGAGUUUGGCGUUAGAAAGCUGAAGUUAUGAAUUUUUGAAAGCGUGAAAGACAGGGAGGCAGUUAGAAAGCUGAAGUUGUGAAGUUUUAUAAGCCUGAAAGACAGGAAGGUUGUGAAGUUUUUAAGCUUGAAAGACAAGAAGACAAAGAGGGGAAAGAUAAGUAUUCUGUUCAAAAUCUCCAAUCUAUUCUGGAAUGGUAUUGUUCUAUCUCUGGUCAAUCCAUAAAUUUGGCUAAAUCCUAUGUGUUCUGUUCUUCUAACAUGCCUUUGGAGGAGCAGGUAGGACUUGGAAGGCUGAUUUGGUUAGGAGUUUAUACCCUUUUCAUCAGGCUUUCUCAAUCCUUCAAAUUCCUAUCUCCAAGACAGAUUCUGUACAAGAUACACUCUGUUGGAAAUUCUCCAGUAAUGGGGAGUAUCAAGUGCACAAAGCCUAUGACUUGUUAAGUAGGAAUUAUGCUGGCCAAUCUGGUUCUUUUCAAGCUCAUUCGGGUUGGUGGAGAUCGUUUUGGAAAAUCAAGGUUCCUUUGAAAGUCAGUAAUUUUGUUUGGAAGCUGUUGAACAAUUGUCUGCCAACUUUUCAUAAUCUUCAUGUUAGAGGUAUAUCCAAUGGAAAUCUUUGCCCAAUGUGUAAUGAGGAAGAGGAGAGUUUAACCCAUCUCUUUCUUCUUUGUCCAUUCACUAGGGCGUGUUGGCAUGGAACCACUCUAGCUAUCCAUUCUUCAGAUUUUUCUGACUUGUCUGUUCAACAUUGGCUGCAACAAGUUAUUUCAAGACAUAAGUUGAGAAAUUUGGACUCUAUGUCUUAUUUACAGGAUGUUUUCAUUACCCUUUGGGCUAUUUGGAACCAUCGGAACAGAGUAGUGCAUCAAGGAAUCAUCCCUAAUCCAAUGGAAGUUAUUCUAAUUGCUCAAAACUUUUCUUGCAGGUAUAAGGCCUCUCUCUCAAGUUGUCAGUCCCCGAGAAGAAGAGAUAGCAGCUGUUCCAACACUUGGCAGCAACCUGCAGCCAGAAACUGGAAUCUAAUCAUCAAAAUUGCAGCAGCUAGAAAGAGGAGGCACUGUAGAUAUGGUAUUGUACAUGAAGCUCUAACUUUGCAGGGAGAUAAGUUGUUUUUUGGAGUAGCAAGUACCUCUGCUACAACUUCCACUGGAGCUCUUUUGGAGGCUGUUAUUGAAGCUGGUUUGGUAGCCAAAGCUCAAGGUUUUCAAAAUGUUUUGUUCCUCAGUGAUAGCAAAAGACUUAUGAAGACAGUUAAGAAGAAAUGUGCCACGGAUUGGAUGGACAGCACUAGGCUCGCGGAUUACUGCUUCCUGAAUCAGAAUGGCUUGUUUUGUGAUCUUUUUUGGGUUCCUCAUGUUAUUGUGAAGGAUAUUUGGUCUGUAGCUAAAGUGGCAACACGUUUGCCACUUCACUAUUGCUAUCAGCUUCCAGUCGGUUCUUUGUAAUGCUACUGUGCCUUUUGUUUCUCCCUUCAGUGGUAUGGAAAAAAAACUUGACCACAAUUUUAUUAGCUUUAUAUUAUAUAUUA